UACGUAGGUCGCAAGCGUUGUCCGGAUUUACUGGGCGUAAAGAGCGCGCAGGCGGCUGGUCAAGUCCGAUGUGAAAUCUCCCGGCUCAACUGGGAAACUGCAUCGGAAACUGAUCGGCUUGAAGGUGGGAGAGGGUAGUGGAAUUCCCGGUGUAGUGGUGAAAUGCGUAGAGAUGUGGAGGAACACCGAUGGCGAAGGCAGCCCCCUGGGCUAACACUGACGCUCAUGCACGAAAGCGUGGGGAGCAAACAGG
rnacentral:rRNA from 1 species